AUUGAACGCUGGCGGAAUGCUUUACACAUGCAAGUCGAACGGUAGAGGGGGCAACCCCUCGAGAGUGGCGAACGGGUGAGUAAUAUAUCGGAACGUGCCCAGUCGUGGGGGAUAACGUAGCGAAAGUUACGCUAAUACCGCAUACGAUCUAAGGAUGAAAGUGGGGGAUCGCAAGACCUCGCGCGAUUGGAGCGGCCGAUAUCAGAUUAGGUAGUUGGUGGGGUAAAGGCUCACCAAGCCAACGAUCUGUAGCUGGUCUGAGAGGACGACCAGCCACACUGGAACUGAGACACGGUCCAGACUCCUACGGGAGGCAGCAGUGGGGAAUUUUGGACAAUGGACGCAAGUCUGAUCCAGCCAUUCCGCGUGCAGGAUGAAGGCCCUCGGGUUGUAAACUGCUUUUGUACGGAACGAAAAGGUCUCUCUUAAUACGGGGGACUCAUGACGGUACCGUAAGAAUAAGCACCGGCUAACUACGUGACAGCCGCCGCCGUAAUAC
rnacentral:rRNA from 1 species